rnacentral:rRNA from 1 species
AGGUUAAGCUACAAAGAGCACACGGAGGAUGCCUAGGCGCCAGGAGCCGACGAAGGACGUGGCGAACAACGAUAAGGCCUCGGGGAGCUGUAAGCAAGCUUUGAUCCGGGGAUGUCCGAAUGGGGAAACCCGGCUGUCUUCAUCGACAGUCACUACUCACUGAAUUCAUAGGUGAGUGAGAGGCAGACCAGGGGAACUGAAACAUCUAAGUACCCUGAGGAAGAGAAAACAAUAGUGAUUCCGUCAGUAGCGGCGAGCGAACGCGGAUUAGCCCAAACCAAGGAGCUUGCUCCUUGGGGUUGUGGGACGUCUCACAUGGAGUUACAAAGGAACCGGUUAGAUGAAGAGGUCUGGAAAGGCCCACCAGAGAAGGUAAAAGCCCUGUAGUUCAAAACCCGUUCCCUCCGAGACGGAUCCCGAGUAGUGCGGGGCACGUGAAACCCCGUAUGAAUCCGGCAGGACCAUCUGCCAAGGCUAAAUACUCCCUGGCGACCGAUAGUGAAGCAGUACCGUGAGGGAAAGGUGAAAAGCACCCCGGAAGGGGAGUGAAAUAGAUCCUGAAACCGUGUGCUUACAAGAAGUCAGAGCCCAAUUUAGGGGUGAUGGCGUGCCUUUUGUAGAAUGAACCGGCGAGUUACGUUCCCGUGCAAGGUUAAGGUGAAGAGCUGAAGCCGCAGCGAAAGCGAGUCUGAAUAGGGCGAAUGAGUACGUGGACGUAGACCCGAAACCGGGUGAUCUACCCCUGUCCAGGGUGAAGGUGCGGUAACACGCACUGGAGGCCCGAACCCACGCAUGUUGAAAAAUGCGGGGAUGAGGUGGGGGUAGCGGAGAAAUUCCAAUCGAACCCGGAGAUAGCUGGUUCUCCCCGAAAUAGCUUUAGGGCUAGCCUCGGAAA